AACGAACGCUGGCGGCAGGCUUAACACAUGCAAGUCGAACGCCCCGCAAGGGGAGUGGCAGACGGGUGAGUAACGCGUGGGAAUCUACCCAGUUCUACGGAACAACUGAGGGAAACUUCAGCUAAUACCGUAUACGCCCUACGGGGGAAAGAUUUAUCGGAAUUGGAUGAGCCCGCGUUGGAUUAGCUAGUUGGUGAGGUAACGGCUCACCAAGGCGACGAUCCAUAGCUGGUCUGAGAGGAUGAUCAGCCACACUGGGACUGAGACACGGCCCAGACUCCUACGGGAGGCAGCAGUGGGGAAUAUUGGACAAUGGGCGCAAGCCUGAUCCAGCCAUGCCGCGUGAGUGAUGAAGGCCUUAGGGUUGUAAAGUUCUUUUAGUUGGAAAGAUAAUGACGGUACCAACAGAAAAAGCCCCGGCUAACUCCGUG
rnacentral:rRNA from 1 species